AUUGAACGCUGGCGGCAGGCCUAACACAUGCAAGUCGAGCGGAUGAAGGGAGCUUGCUCCUGGAUUCAGCGGCGGACGGGUGAGUAAUGCCUAGGAAUCUGCCUGGUAGUGGGGGAUAACGUCCGGAAACGGGCGCUAAUACCGCAUACGUCCUGAGGGAGAAAGUGGGGGAUCUUCGGACCUCACGCUAUCAGAUGAGCCUAGGUCGGAUUAGCUAGUUGGUGGGGUAAAGGCCUACCAAGGCGACGAUCCGUAACUGGUCUGAGAGGAUGAUCAGUCACACUGGAACUGGGACACGGUCCAGACUCCUACGGGAGGCAGCAGUGGGGAAUAUUGGACAAUGGGCGAAAGCCUGAUCCAGCCAUGCCGCGUGUGUGAAGAAGGUCUUCGGAUUGUAAAGCACUUUAAGUUGGGAGGAAGGGCAGUAAGUUAAUACCUUGCUGUUUUGACGUUACCGACAGAAUAAGCACCGGCUAACUUCGUG
rnacentral:rRNA from 1 species